rnacentral:lncRNA from 1 species
UUUUUUUUUUUUUUUUGGAUACAGUCUUGCUCGGCUCACUGCAACCUCCACCUCCUGGUUUCAGGCGAUUCUUCUGCAUCAGCCUUCCAAGUAGCUGGGAUUACAGGCGCACACUAUGACGCCUGACUAAGUUUUGUAUUUUUUAGUAGAGAUGGGGUUUCGCCACGUUGGCUAAGCUAGCCUCGAACUCCUGACCUCAGGUGAUCUGCCCACCUCAGCCUCCCAAAGUGCUGGGAUUACAGACAUGAGUCACUGCACCUGGCCUACCAAUAAUAUUUCAAUCUACCUUUGUAAAUGAUAGCUGACUGCAACCUUGAACUCCUGAGCUCAAGCGAUCCUCCCCUGUUUAGCCUGUCAAGUAACUGGGACUGCAGGUGCACGCCACUGCAUUUGGCUAAUUUUUUAUUUUUAUUUUUUGGUACAGAUAGGAUCUUGCCGUUUUGCCCAGGAUGGUCUUGAACUCCUGAGCUCGAGCAAUCCUACAGCCUUGGCCUCCCACAGUGCUGGGAUUACAAGCGUGAGCCACUGUGCUGGUCCUUAAAGGAUUAUUAAAGACAGGUUAACAGCAAACUAAAACUCUUCUCUAUGAAAGUAUUGGAAUAGAUUUGCAAAGAAAACAGUUUUCCUUCUCUCUCUGAUUCUCUCUCUUUUUGUAGAGACAGGGUCUCGCUAUGUUGGCCAGGCUGGUCUCUAACUCCCUGCCUUCAAGCAAUCCUUUUGCCUUGGCCUCCCAAAGUGCUGGGAUUUCAGCCAUGAGUCACCCCACUGGUCUCUCUUCUUCCUAGCAUGUCCUGAGGCAUCUGUACAUCAACUCCUGGGGCAACAAACACCAAAGUUGGCCUGAGGAAAGAUGGGUGUCAGGCUGUACGGAGUUUAGUUGCAGGGGCAGGGAAGGCCCCCUAAGGGGCAGCAGCGCUCAUGCGCACAGGUGUGAUGCUCUGUUUUUGCAGACCACUGGCGCAUCAGUCACCCCAUGCGUAGGAGGCUCUGCCCAUUUCUCUGGCCACCUGCCCCUCAAUCACACUGCUCCAGCCCUGGGGUUCCUCCCUGCUGCUCUUCCUACAGGCUAAGCAGUUUCCAGCCUCUGAGCCUUUGUGCUUAGCUGUUUCCUCCACUCCCAUGGCCACACAGCCUUCUCCUUGCCCUUCCAGUCUAGGCAGAAAGUUUUUCUUCCUUUGUGAGCAAGCUACAUACCAGGCAGGGAUUCAUAUGGAAAACUGACCUUGAGCAAUCAGCCCCUCCACUCUGAGGCUCAGUUUGCCUAACUGCAAAUAUGGAUAAUAAGAAAUGCACCAGGCUGGGCACGGUGGCUCACGCCUGUAAUCCUAGCAGUUUGAGAGUCAGGUGGAUCAUUUGAGGUCAGGAGUUCAAUACCAGCCUGGUCAAUAUGGUGAAACCCCAUCUCUACUAAAAAUACAGAAAUUAGCCAGGCAUGAUGGUGGGUGCCUGUAGUCCCAGCUACUCAGGAGACUGAGACAGGAGAAUUGCUUGAACCCGGGAAGCGGAGGUUGCAGAGAGCAGAGAUAGCGCCACUGUGCUCUAGCCUGGGCAACAGAGUGAGAC